rnacentral:rRNA from 1 species
GAUCAAGAGAACAAGGGCACACGGUGAAUGCCUUGGUACCAGGAGCCGAUGAAGGACGUUGAUGGCUGCGAUAAGCCUCGGGGAGCUGCCUAACAAGCGUUGAUCCGGGGAUUUCCGAAUGGGGAAACCCACCCGUGGUAAUGCGCGGGUACCUCACGCUGAAUCCAUAGGCGUGUUGGAGGUAAGCGGGCGAACUGAAACAUCUUAGUAGCCCGAGGAAGAGAAAGAAACCUCGAUUCCCUUAGUAGUGGCGAGCGAAACGGGAAGAGCCUAAACCAGGUCGGAGCGAUAAUCUGCGGAUGUUGCCGGCUUGGGGUUGUAGGACGACUCAUGAUUGCGCCGCAGCGCAUUCGGGGAGUUACAAAUGCACGCGUUAGCGGAAGCGGGUGGAAACUCGCGCCAUAGAGGGUAAAGGCCCCGUACGCGAAAAUACGUGCACUCCUUGUAGUCGUUCCUGAGUACGGCCGGGCACGAGAAACCCGGUCGGAAUCUGCGGGGCCCACCCCGCAAGGCUAAAUACUCCCUGGUGACCGAUAGUGAACUAGUACCGUGAGGGAAAGGUGAAAAGCACCCCGUGAGGGGAGUGAAAUAGAACCUGAAACCGUGUGCUUACAAGCGGUCGGAGCAGACUUGUUCUGUGACGGCGUACUUUUUGCAUAAUGGGCCAGCGAGUUAGUCGUGCGCGGCGAGGUUAAGGAAACGGAGCCGUAGCGAAAGCGAGUCUGAAUAGGGCGAAUUAGUCGCGUGCGCUAGACCCGAAACUGUGUGAUCUAUCCAUGGCCAGGCUGAAGCGGGGGUAAGACCUCGUGAAGGGCCGAACCCACGUCGGUUGAAAACGGCGGGGAUGAGCUGUGGAUCGGAGUGAAAGGCUAAUCAAACACAGAAAUAUCUGGUUCUCCCCGAAAUAUAUUUAGGUAUAGCCUCGUCUGUUCAGCAUUGGUUGUAGAGCACUGUUUGGCCUAGGGGCCUUACCAGGUUACCGAAGUCAGACAAACUCCGAAUGCCAUUGCUCCACAGGACGGGAGUCAGACUGCGGGGGAUAAGCUCCGUAGUCGAGAGGGAAACAGCCCAGACCGCCAGCUAAGGUCCCUAAUUCUCAUCUAAGUGGGAAACGAUGUCCGAAUGCAUAGACAACCAGGAGGUUGGCUUAGAAGCAGCCACCCUUGAAAGAGUGCGUAAUAGCUUACUGGUCAAGUGUUCGGGCGCGGACGAUGUAACGGGGCUCAAGGUGAGUACCGAAGCUGCGGAUUCGGCCCUUCGGGGCUGAGUGGUAGGGGAGCGUUCCCAUGCCGACUGAAGCGGCCGCGACAAGCGAGCCGUGGAGGCAUGGGAAGUGAGAAUGCUGGCUUGAGUAACGAAAGACGUGUGGGAAACACGUCCACCGUACACCCAAGGUUUCCUGAGUAAAGCUAAUCUUCUCAGGGUUAGUCGGGACCUAAGCCGAGGCCGAAAGGCGUAGGCGAUGGAUAACCGGUUGAUAUUCCGUACCACGUAGCCAUCGUUUGACCGAUGGGGGGACGGGGUAGGCUAGGGGAACCCAGGCGCUGGAGUUGACCUGGGGUAACCGUGUAGGUGGGUCGGUUGUGAAAUGCGCCGGCCAUUAACACUGAGGCGGGAUGCCGAGAGCCGCGUGAGCGAGCUCGAAGUCCUUGAAGCCAUGCCUCCAAGAAAAGCCUCUAGGGAGAAGGCGCGUGCCCGUACCUAAACCGACACAGGUGGGUGGGUAGAGAAUACCAAGGUGAUCGAGAGAACCUUCGUUAAGGAACUCGGCAAAAUGGCCCCGUAACUUCGGGAUAAGGGGCGCCCCGUCAGGGUGAAGGCACUUGCUGCCGGAGCCCGAGGGGGCCGCAGUGACUAGGCCCAGGCGACUGUUUACCAAAAACACAGGUCUCUGCUAAGUCGUAAGACGAUGUAUAGGGGCUGACGCCUGCCCGGUGCUGGAAGGUCACGAGGAGAGGUUAGCCGCAAGGCGAAGCUUUGAAUCCAAGCCCCAGUAAACGGCGGCGGUAACUAUAACCGUCCUAAGGUAGCGAAAUUCCUUGUCGGGUAAGUUCCGACCUGCACGAAUGGCGUAACGACUUGGGCGCUGUCUCAA